rnacentral:rRNA from 1 species
UACGGAGGGUGCAAGCGUUAAUCGGAAUUACUGGGCGUAAAGCGUGCGCAGGCGGUUUGUUAAGUCCGUUGUGAAAGCCCCGAGCUCAACUUGGGAAUUGCAGUGGAUACUGGCAGGCUGGAGUACGGUAGAGGAAGGUGGAAUUCCCGGUGUAGCAGUGAAAUGCGUAGAUAUCGGGAGGAACACCAGUGGCGAAGGCGGCCUUCUGGACCAGUACUGACGCUGAGACGCGAAAGCGUGGGGAGCAAACAGG